CUUUCCGACCCUUGCUUCUGCGGGAGGAUCAUAUAAUGAGUUUGUAAAGCGGGGCUUCGAGCUGGCGGAAACGCAUGUGCACGGCCCCGCGCUCAAUCCACUCAACCCCUGUGCACUCUAUGGGAGCUAGUAGUCGGAUCUAACACUUGGAGAGGGGAGGCAAGUCGUUUAUCCUUAGGGAUGAACACUUAAUUCUCUUUGAACGGUGCGCCGGCGAACACUUCAAUUUAUUUAUCAACUAUAACUUGUUAUGUUGAAUGUAUUACUCCUCGUGAGUGAAAUAAUAUACAACUUUCAACAACGGAUCUCUUGGCUCUCGCAUCGAUGAAGAACGCAGCGAAAUGCGAUAAGUAAUGUGAAUUGCAGAAUUCAGUGAAUCAUCGAAUCUUUGAACGCACCUUGCGCCCCUUGGUAUUCCGAGGGGCAUGCCCGUUUGAGUGUCAUGUUCAUCUCAAUCCCCAAGUCUUUUAUUUGACUCGGGGUAUUGGACUUGAAGGUUGCUGGUCCCCCCUUGUGACCGGCUCCUUUGAAAUGUAUUAGCUGGACUUUGACUCGCGUUUGUUACGGUGUAAUAGUAACUUGUUCACCGGGCGCUUGUCUAGAGGUCUGCUUCUAAUCGUUUCGGACAAGACGCGUGCUCGUCUUACUUGACCUUUUGACCUCAAAUCGGGGAGGAUUACCCGCUGAACUAAACCUAUCAUA
rnacentral:rRNA from 1 species